rnacentral:tRNA from 1 species
CUUAAUUUAAAAGACNGUAGUUAAACUCUACUAUUAAGGG